UAAUAGUGUAUAUUAAAGUUGUUGCAGUUAAAAAGCUCGUAGUUGAAUGUUGGUGUCGAACGAGCGGUCAGCUUCGGCUGUACUGCUCUCUCGACUCCUUCCUUCUGUGGACUACGUCGCACUUUACUGUGUGGCGCUAGGACGCAGAUCGUUUACUGUGAAAAAAUUAGAGUGUUCAAAGCAGGCCGUACGCUUGAAUACAUUAGCAUGGAAUAAUGGAAUAGGACGUCGGGCCUAUUUUGUUGGUUCUAGGACCGUCGUAAUGAUUAAUAGGGACAGUUGGGGCCGUUUACAUUCCGUAGUCAGAGGUGAAAUUCUUGGAUUUACGGAAGAUAAACUACUGCGAAAGCAUUCGGCAAGGAUGUUUNCGUUAA
rnacentral:rRNA from 1 species